rnacentral:rRNA from 1 species
AUUGAACGCUGGCGGCAGGCCUAACACAUGCAAGUCGAACGAGUGGCGGACGGGUGAGUAAUGUCUGGGAAACUGCCUGAUGGCGGGGGAUAACUACUGGAAACGGUAGCUAAUACCGCAUACCAUCGGAUGUGCCCAGAUGGGCUUAGCUGGUAGGUGGGGUAACGGCUCACCUAGGCGGCGAUCCCUAGCUGGUCUGAGGGGAUGACUAUCCACACGGGAACUGAGACACUGUCCAGACUCCUACGGGAGGCAGCAGGGGGGAGUAGUGCACAAUGGGCGAGAGCCUGAGGCAGCCAUGGCGCGUGUAUGAAGAAGGUCUUCGGUUUGUAAAGUACUUUCAGCGGGGAGGCGUUACCCGCAGAAGAAGCACCGGCUAACGCCGUGCCAGCAGCCGCGGUAAUAC